AACGAACGCUGGCGGCAUGCCUAACACAUGCAGGUCGAACGAGACCUUCGGGUCUAGUGGCGCACGGGUGCGUAACGCGUGGGAACCUGCCCUUAGGUUCGGAAUAACUCCCCGAAAGGGGUGCUAAUACCGGAUAAUGUCUUCGGCCCAAAGAUUUAUCGCCUUUGGAUGGGCCCGCGUUGGAUUAGCUCGUUGGUAGGGUAAAAGCCUACCAAGGCGACGAUCCAUAGCUGGUCUGAGAGGAUGAUCAGCCACACUGGGACUGAGACACGGCCCAGACUCCUACGGGAGGCAGCAGUGGGGAAUAUUGGACAAUGGGCGAAAGCCUGAUCCAGCAAUGCCGCGUGAGUGAUGAAGGCCUUAGGGUUGUAAAGCUCUUUUACCCGGGAUGAUAAUGACAGUACCGGGAGAAUAAGCUCCGGCUAACUCCGUG
rnacentral:rRNA from 1 species